rnacentral:ncRNA from 2 species
CGACCUCGUGCGGGAGAGUCCCCUCUGACCAGGGGCGCCGAAGGAGCAAACCUCCCCGGAAUCUCUCAGGCAUCCGUACCGCACGGACGAG